rnacentral:rRNA from 1 species
AACGAACGCUGGCGGCAUGCCUAACACAUGCAAGUCGAACGAGACCUUCGGGUCUAGUGGCGCACGGGUGCGUAACGCGUGGGAACCUGCCCUUAGGUUCGGAAUAACUCCCCGAAAGGGGUGCUAAUACCGGUUAAUGUCAUCGGACCAAAGAUCUAUCGCCUUUGGAUGGGCCCGCGUUGGAUUAGCUAGUUGGUAGGGUAAAAGCCUACCAAGGCGACGAUCCAUAGCUGGUCGGGGAGGAUGAUCAGCCACACUGGGACUGAGACACGGCCCAGACUCCUACGGGAGGCAGCAGAAGGGAAUAUUGGACAAUGGGCGAAAGCCUGAUCCAGCAAUGCCGCGUGAGUGAUGAAGGCCUUAGGGUUGUAAAGCUCUUUUACCCGGGAUGAUAAUGACAGUACCGGGAGAAUAAGCUCCGGCUAACUCCGUG